AGGAAAAACAAUUAAAUCCCUCAUAUAUGCUAGAGGAUUGGCUCUAGUGUCUCUACCCAGCACCGUAAAUGCUGGACUAUGCGGGAAAGCAACUUUUGG
rfam:Lysinibacillus sphaericus OT4b.31 genomic scaffold Ls31_scaffold1, whole genome shotgun sequence.